rnacentral:misc_RNA from 1 species
UUAAGUUCAGCGGGUAGUCUCACCCGAUUUGAGGUCAAGGUUUGUGGGCCAAGUGGCAAUCACUUAACCCAUUGUCUUCUAUGAGACGGUUAGAAGCAGGAUCCAGAGCGAACAGUGCAAGAUCCAAGACGUAGAAAUAUCUUAUCACGUCAAGGAUCGGCAAAGCAGACCCCACUAAUCCAUUUGGGAGGAGCUCGCUU